rnacentral:rRNA from 1 species
UACGGAGGAUCCGAGCGUUAUCCGGAUUUAUUGGGUUUAAAGGGUGCGCAGGCGGAAUAUUAAGUCGGCGGUGAAAGUUUGCAGCUUAACUGUAAAAUUGCCGUUGAAACUGGUUUUCUUGAGUGUAUAUGAAGUAGGCGGAAUUUGUAGUGUAGCGGUGAAGUGCAUAGAUAUUACAAGGAACUCCGAUUGCGAAGGCAGCUUACUAAAAUACAACUGACGCUCAGGCACGAAGGCGUGGGUAUCAAACAGGAUUAGAUACCCGGGUAGUCCCUGAG